UGUCACUCCUUCACUCUCCGGCUUGUGCUCUGUUAUGAUGAUUGCCUCUCCUAGACCACCUGGAAGGUGAAUGUCAAGAGCUUCAACUUGUACUUGAGGCUUUGUCACCAAAUUCUCCCAUAACCCUAGGAUCUUCAGCUCUUAACUGGAAUCUCAUCAAGUGUUCCUCACUGCAAAGAACAGUGUGAAAAAUCCAGGGGGAAAAUAUGACCCAGGCUUUGGAGAACUGGAUAUCUAACUGCAGGGAGAAAAUACAUGAGAUUGAAUUAAAAUAUUUAUGAAUAUUAUGAUGAACAAAUUCUAAAUAAUGUGACAACUUGUAUAAGCUCCAAAGGGCUUCUACCCGUUUGGCCUUCACAGUCAGGUGGUAUGAGUCAGAGAAGACUUCUUGGAGCAACAGAGUUUUGAACAGGUUGUUAAAAAGCAUCUUGUACAGCGUCUAGAACACAAUAGACAUACACAAAGAUGGAUGGAUGGAUGGAUGGAUGAGGCAGACUCAAUACAAGCUUAAGAAGUUCAAAUGACAGAAGUUAGUAACUAAUUGAAUAUUUGAGCAUCAGGAGAGUCAAAGACAACUUGAAGGUUUCUAGCAUGGAUUACAGACAGUACAGAAGGAUGAGCUGGUCUGAGGAGAGUUCCAGUUGCGACCUUCAAGAUGGUAGAGGAGUAAGACGUGGAGAUCACCUUAGUCCCCAC